rnacentral:rRNA from 1 species
CUUGCAUCGUGAUAGGGAUAGAUUAUUGCAAUUAUUAAUCUUGAACGAGGAAUUCCUAGUAAACGCAGAUCAUCAGUCUGCAUUGAUUACGUCCCUGCCCUUUGUACACACCGCCCGUCGCACCUACCGAUUGAAUGGUCCGGUGAAGGCUCGGGAUUGCAGCUAAUGCCUUUACUGGUGUUGGUUUCAAGAACUUGUCUAAACCUUAUUAUUUAGAGGAAGGUGAAGUCGUAACAAGGUUUCCGUAGGUGAACCUGCGGAAGGAUCAUUACCACACAAUAAUCCAAACCGCGCUUACAUUAAACCCAUAGGCUCUGGCCCUGCUAACUAGUGGUAAACCCCUCUGUAACCCAUCGAGUCUCUCUGGUGUUUACGACCUUAUAAGAUCUCAUUAUGUGCCACUGCCGUGAUGAUGCAACCUGGAGGCCAACGAGUACGAUCCACCAAUUUAAAUUCAAUCGACAGCUUGACGAGAGUCAAGUUUAAAAGUAUAACAUUCCAAUACAACUUUCAGCAAUGGAUGUCUUGGUUCCCAACACAAUGAAGAACACAGCGAAAUGUGAUACGUAAUACGAAUUGCAAGACUUUGUGAAUCAUUGAAUUUUUGAACGCAUAUUGCGCUGCCAGAUUCUUUCUGGGAGCAUACACGACAGAGUAUCAUCAAACCCCAAUCUAUAACAUUAUUUGUUAUGGGCAAGUGAAGUUGGCUUUAAACAAAGCACUCCUUCUAAGUUAUUUAGUGCAGAGGCAUUUUCACAUUGUAGGAAACUCAGUGUAUUUGUUUCAACGUGCUAUUGGUCAAAAUUCACUUUUUGACUGUCUUCUUAACUGAUCUCUGACUGUGUAGGACUACCCGCUGAAUUU